GACGAACGCUGGCGGCGUGCUUAACACAUGCAAGUCGAACGGAAAGGCCCUGCUUUUGUGGGGUGCUCGAGUGGCGAACGGGUGAGUAACACGUGAGUAACCUGCCCUUGACUUUGGGAUAACUUCAGGAAACUGGGGCUAAUACCGGAUAGGAGCUCCUGCUGCAUGGUGGGGGUUGGAAAGUUUCGGCGGUUGGGGAUGGACUCGCGGCUUAUCAGCUUGUUGGUGGGGUAGUGGCUUACCAAGGCUUUGACGGGUAGCCGGCCUGAGAGGGUGACCGGCAACAUUGGGACUGAGAUACGGCCCAGACUCCUAAGGGAGGCAGCAGUGGGGAAUAUUGCACAAUGGGCGGAAGCCUGAUGCAGCAACGCCGCGUGCGGGAUGACGGCCUUCGGGUUGUAAACCGCUUUCGCCUGUGACGAAGCGUGAGUGACGGUAAUGGGUAAAGAAGCACCGGCUAACUACGUG
rnacentral:rRNA from 1 species